rnacentral:rRNA from 1 species
CCUACGGGUGGCACCAGUGGGGAAUAUUGCACAAUGGGCACAAGCCUGAUGCAGCCAUGCCGCGUGUAUGAAGAAGGCCUUCGGGUUGUAAAGUACUUUCAGCGAGGAGGAAGGCAUUAAGGUUAAUAACCUUAAUGAUUGACGUUACUCGCAGAAGAAGCACCGGCUAACUCCGUGCCAGCAGUCGCGGUAAUACGGAGGGUGCAAGCGUUAAUCGGAAAUACUGGGCGUAAAGCGCACGCAGGCGGUCUGUCAAGUCAGAUGUGAAAUCCCCGGGCUCAACCUGGGAACUGCAUCCGAAACUGGCAGGCUAGAGUCUUGUAGAGGGGGGUAGAAUUCCAGGUGUAGCGGUGAAAUGCGUAGAGAUCUGGAGGAAUACCGGUGGCGAAGGCGGCCCCCUGGACAAAGACUGACGCUCAGGUGCGAAAGCGUGGGGAGCAAACAGGAUUAGAUACCCGUGUAGUC